GACGAACGCUGGCGGCGUGCUUAACACAUGCAAGUCGAACGGAAAGGCCCUGCUUUUGUGGGGUGCUCGAGUGGCGAACGGGUGAGUAACCCGUUAGUAACCUGCCCUUGACUUUGGGAUAACUUCAGGAAACUGGGGCUAAUACCGGAUAGGAGCUCCUGCUGCAUGGUGGGGGUUGGAAAGUUUCGGCGGUUGGGGAUGGACUCGCGGCUUAUCAGCUUGUUGGUGGGGUAGUGGAUUACCAAGGCUUUGACGGGUAGCCGGCCUGAGAGGGUGACCGGCCACAUUGGGACUGAGAUACGGCCCAGACUCCUACGGGAGGCAGCAGUGGGGAAUAUUGCACAAUGGGCGGAAGCCUGAUGCAGCAACGCCGCGUGCGGGAUGACGGCCUUCGGGUUGUAAACCGCUUUCGCCUGUGACGAAGCGUGAGUGACGGUAAUGGGUAAAGAAGCACCGGCUAACUACGUG
rnacentral:rRNA from 1 species